ACAAAUCUAUUAUUAGAAAUACUGUAACAUAGAAAAUAUAAAACACUUACAGGCCGUUCUUGCUCAUGACAAUUCAGAACGCAAGAAAAUAUUAUUUCAGCUGGAACGAUCUUCAACGUGGCUUUAACUCUUAAAAUAACUUCCUGGUUCAGGCUGCAAUACUGCAAUUGUCAUACUCUAACAAGAUAAUACUCAAAAGGUCAGAACCAUUUGAAUUUAAUGUUUGAGUCUCUGUAACCAUAUAAAUGUAUUUUUCUUGUUUUCUAGUGAACUUGCAGCAGCCCAGUAUCUCCCACAGUGCUCCUGAUGGAGGGUUUCACAUGGGGCCUCAGGGGCCAGUGAUCACCAGGGGUCACAGUUUCACUAUCAUCUGUUCAACUCAAUCUCAGUUUCCUGGAGGAUCUUUUCACUUGUUCAGAGGAUCAAACAUCACCAGGACUGAGUCAGCUGUCAGUCACUCUGCUUCCUUCUUCUUUCCUGAGGCAGAUUAUUCACACGAGGGAAACUACAGUUGUGUUUAUGAAGUCAGUGUCUCCUCACGCUCCUUCUGUUCAUCUGUCUCCGAACUGCUGCUCAUCACUAUCACAGCCUCCCUGCUUCCUGUCAUUGGUGCUGCAGUGUCAGCUGUGCUGCUCUUAUUGUCUGUUCUCAUAAUCAUCCUCCUGCUGAAGAGAAGACAAAAGCAAAGGAACAAGGAAACACAUUCAAAGUGCUCUUUUAUGAAAGAUCAAGCUGCAUCACAUAGAAGCAAAAAUGAAGAGGAUGAUGAGGCUGUUUAUGAAAAUUUUGAACUUGAUGAAAACGUGGAUCAUGAUGAAUCUGAACAGGACUAUAUUAAUGUGGACUCUGGUCAUUCUGAACAGGACUGUAUUGAUGUGGACUCUGAUCAUUCUGAACAGGCCUAUAUUAAUGUGGACUCAAUGUAAAUCAGUGGUCUUCACUAUUUUUUAAUGGGAGCAGCACUGAUAGGGCAAAGUCAAUCGGAGAGCCACGUUCACCACAAAGUAUCGGAAGUUACAUCCAGUUAUAAAUAGUAUGUCUUUUUAUCAAUCUGUCAUCUGUAUAUGCAGGCACGUGCACACAUCAAACGGGGGCUUAAGCACCUGUCUUAUUUCUUUGCCCUUUUUUUUCUGGGCAGUUUAUAUAUAUAUAUAUGUGUGUGUGUGUGUGUGUGUGUGUGUGUGUGUGUUUCUGUUUGCACACAGCUUUCCAUGUCAAACAAAUAAAAAAAAUCUAAAUAUCA
ensembl:lncRNA